rnacentral:rRNA from 1 species
GACGAACCGUGCGAACGUUGUUCGGAAUCACUGGGCUUAAAGGGCGCGUAGGCGGGCUGACAAGUCUGGGGUGAAAUGCCGCGGCUCAACCGUGGAACUGCCUCAGAUACUGUCGGCCUCGAGGAAGGUAGGGGCAUGCGGAACUGUAGGUGGAGCGGUGAAAUGCGUUGAUAUCUACAGGAACUCCGAUGGCGAAAGCGGCGUGCUGGACCUUUUCUGACGCUGAGGCGCGAAAGCUAGGGGAGCAAACGGG